UACAUGUACAGGAUAGGUGGGAGGCUUUGAAACCAGGACGCCAGGUUUGGCGGAGCCAUCCUUGGGAUACCACCCUUGUAGUACUGGGACUCUAACCAUAGGCCAUGAAUCUGGUCUUGGGACACUGUCAGGUGGGCAGUUUGACUGGGGCGGUCGCCUCCCAAAAGGUAACGGAGGCGCUCAAAGGUUCUCUCAGUACGGUCGGAAAGCGUACGUAGAGUGUAAAGGCAAAAGAGGGCUUGAUU
rnacentral:rRNA from 1 species